AGAGCGAACGCUGGCGGCAGGCCUAACACAUGCAAGUCGAGCGCUCCGCAAGGGGAGCGGCAGACGGGAGAGUAACACGUGGGAACGUACCCUUCAGUUCGGAACAACCCAGGGAAACUUGGGCUAAUACCGAAUACGUCCGUAAGGAGAAAGAUUUAUCGCUGAAGGAUCGGCCCGCGUCUGAUUAGCUUGUUGGUGAGGUAACGGCUCACCAAGGCGACGAUCAGUAGCUGGUCUGAGAGGAUGAUCAGCCUCACUGGGACUGAGACACGGCCCAGACUCCUACGGGAGGCAGCAGUGGGGAAUAUUGGACAAUGGGCGCAAGCCUGAUCCAGCCAUGCCGCGUGGGUGAUGAAGGCCCUAGGGUUGUAAAGCCCUUUCGGCGGGGAAGAUAAUGACGGUACCCGCAGAAGAAGCCCGGCUAACUUCGCGCCAGCAGCCGC
rnacentral:rRNA from 1 species